rfam:Gasterosteus aculeatus cont1.004293, whole genome shotgun sequence.
GGGGGUAUAGCUCAGUGGUAGAGCAUUUGACUGCAGAUCAAGAGGUCCCCAUUUCAAAUCUGGGUGCCCCCU